AAGCGGCCAAGCGAAAGCGUUAAGUAUUCCACCUGGGGAGUACGCCGGCAACGGUGAAACUCAAAGGAAUUGACGGGGGCCCGCACAAGCGGAGGAACAUGUGGUUUAAUUCGAUGAUACGCGAGGAACCUUACCCGGGCUUGAAUUGCAACUGAAUGAUGUGGAGACAUGUCAGCCGCAAGGCAGUUGUGAAGGUGCUGCAUGGUUGUCGUCAGCUCGUGCCGUGAGGUGUCGGCUUAAGUGCCAUAACGAGCGCAACCCUUAUCGAUAGUUACCAUCAGGUUAUGCUGGGGACUCUGUCGAGACUGCCGUCGUAAGAUGUGAGGAAGGUGGGGAUGACGUCAAAUCAGCACGGCCCUUACGUCCGGGGCUACACACGUGUUACAAUGGGGGGUACAGAAGGCAGCUACACGGCGACGUGAUGCUAAUCCCUAAAGCCUCUCUCAGUUCGGAUUGGAGUCUGCAACCCGACUCCAUGAAGCUGGAUUCGCUAGUAAUCGCGCAUCAGCCACGGCGCGGUGAAUACGUUCCCGGGCCUUGUACACACCGCCCGUCAAGCCAUGGGAGCCGGGGGUACCUGAAGUGCGUAACCGCGAGGAGCGCCCUAGGGUAAAACUGGUGACUGGGGCUAAGUCGUAACAAGGUAGCCGUACCGGAAGGUGCGGCUG
rnacentral:rRNA from 1 species